rnacentral:rRNA from 1 species
UACGUAGGUGGCAAGCGUUGUCCGGAAUUAUUGGGCGUAAAGCGCGCGCAGGUGGUUUCUUAAGUCUGAUGUGAAAGCCCACGGCUCAACCGUGGAGGGUCAUUGGAAACUGGGGAACUUGAGUGCAGGAGAGAAGAGUGGAAUUCCACGUGUAGCGGUGAAAUGCGUAGAUAUCGUAAGGAAGACCAGUGGCGAAGGCGGAUCUCUGGACAGUUACUGACACUGAGGCACGAAGGCCAGGGGAGCAAACGGG